CUGGUCUCUCGCCUAACUGCGACUCCGAGAUGCUGCUUUUUCCUGUCCCAGCCUCAUGUCUUAAUUGGCCCAUAGCUACCGGAGACAAACCAUGUACUUUCUGCUCAGAAGAAUCCCAGGAAAAAAAAGGGAUUACCUGAAAAUACAAAUGCAAGAAAGGUAUAGCACAAUUGAUUUGAAUGAUUCAUUUCUGAGAAAGUAAUACAAUUAAAAAUGGGUCCCACAGCUGCAGACUUCCUUUCCUCCUAUUCACUUCAGUCUCAGUCCCCCCACAAAAGCUACAGAUAAAAGCUGCAAAGACCAUGUGUCAAUCUUAAAUGUUCCCAGAGAAGAAAGGGGGCAGAAGAUCAAUCUACCUCAGGUGGAUAAACCACUGGAGAAAGUAUCAGGACUCAUCCAAGCCAUUGCUGCGGUGGAUAAAAGUAAAGUAACAACUGCUCACACUCCAUUUCUUAGUGCUCACUCGAACAGUUUGAAUGUGCCUUUUGAUGGUGCUAGAGAGAAUAAACUGGAAAACAAAUCCAAGUUAGAGUUACUCAUUUCAAAGAUCCCCUCAGAAGGAUUCACAGCUGAAGCACCCCAGGGUCCAGACUGUCCAAACUGCAAAAGGGAAAGAAGGAUCCGGAAGGAGUAUGACAAAUGCAUUUUGCAGUCAAAAAGAGACAAGGAGGCCUUGCAAGAAAGGAUCACGGAACUGGAAGCUGAACUGAAAAAACAUGCGGAACGUAACAAGCUACUUCAAGGCCGAGAGAAUGAAUUCGUCUGUUUUUCUCAGGACAGCUCAUUAAUUGAAAGAGAGGAGUCAAGAGCCCAGCUGGAAGGAACUUGGAAUGGGGAGGAGGCACAGACUCAGAGGACCAACGUGAAGCAAAGCAAGCUGUUUCUUGAAAUAGGAGAGUUAAAAUCCCAGCUCAAAAGGACAAAGAAAGGAGAAAAGGAAAAACUCUUCAUUCUGGAAAAUGAGAAGGAUGCCUGCCUGAAGGAAAUAGCAGAGCUGAAGGCCUGUGUUAAACGGAGGAUUUUCUACCCGAAGAAUUUGAAGGUUUUUGCAGGCCUUACAGGAGUUUUCUGUCUGAAGACAGAGGCCUCAUGUGAGAAUGGUGUGGAAAGUGCUCUGGGAAGCAGUGUGCUUAAAGGCCCUCAAUGUACUUGGACAUUCCCCCCCUAG
rnacentral:lncRNA from 1 species